rnacentral:rRNA from 1 species
AACGUAGGUGGCGAGCGUUAUCCGGAUUCAUUGGGCGUAAAGAGCUUGUAGGUGGCCGUGUAAGUUGGACGUGAAAACUCCGGGCUUAACUUGGAGAGGCCGUUCAAUACUGCGCGGCUGGAGGAUGUCAGAGGGGAGUGGAAUUCCUGGUGUAGCAGUGAAAUGCGUAGAUAUCAGGAGGAACACCCGUGGCGAAGGCGGCUCCCUGGGGCAUAUCUGACACUGAGAAGCGAAAGCUAGGGGAGCAAACGGG